rnacentral:rRNA from 1 species
CUACGUGCCAGCAGCCGCGGUAAUACGGAAGGUCCGGGCGUUAUCCGGAUUUAUUGGGUUUAAAGGGAGCGUAGGCUGGAGAUUAAGUGUGUUGUGAAAUGUAGACGCUCAACGUCUGACUUGCAGCGCAUACUGGUUUCCUUGAGUACGCACAACGUUGGCGGAAUUCGUCGUGUAGCGGUGAAAUGCUUAGAUAUGACGAAGAACUCCGAUUGCGAAGGCAGCUGACGGGAGCGCAACUGACGCUGAAGCUCGAAGGUGCGGGUAUCGAACAGGAUUAGAUACCCUGGUAGUCCGCACAGUAAACGAUGGAUGCCCGCUGUUGGUACGUGGUAUCAGCGGCUAAGCGAAAGCAUUAAGCAUCCCACCUGGGGAGUACGCCGGCAACGGUGAAACUCAAAGGAAUUGACGGGGGCCCGCACAAGCGGAGGAACAUGUGGUUUAAUUCGAUGAUACGCGAGGAACCUUACCCGGGCUUGAAUUGCAGAGGAAGGAUUUAGAGAUA